GACCGGAAAGCAGGGGAAGUGGCUGAGGCGGGAGAGCUCCGAGCCAUGGCGGCCAAGACGGCGGGCGUGGGGCGCUGGGAGGUGGUGAAGAAGGGCCGGCGGCCUGGGGCCGGCGCCCGCGGCCGAGGCGGCGGCGGAAACCGCCGGGCGCUCGGGGAAGCAAAUGGAGUGUGGAAAUACGACCUGACCCCUCCAAUCCAGACCACAAGCACCCUUUAUGAGCGGGGCUUUGAGAAUAUCAUGAAGCGGCAGAAUAAGGAGCAGGUCCCACCCCCUGCUGUGGAGCCUAAGAAACCAGGGAACAAGAAGCAGCCAAAGAAGGUGGCAACUCUUCCCAACCAAAACCAGAAGCAGGGCCGCUUCCGCAGCCUGGAGGAAGCACUGAAAGCUCUGGAUGUGGCAGCCCUGCAGAAGGAACUGGAUAAGAGCCAGAGCGUGUUCUCUGGAAACCCAUCCAUAUGGUUGAAGGACCUGGCCAGCUAUCUCAACUACAAGCUACAGGCUCCUCUAAGUGAACCCACGCUGAGCCAGCAUACUCAUGAUUAUCCCUACAGCCUGGUGAGCCGGGAGCUGCGUGGGAUCAUCCGAGGGCUGCUGGCAAAGGCAGCAGGGUCUCUGGAGCUCUUUUUUGACUUUUGAUUUUUGUCUGUUCACCAUGCUGCAAGAGCUGGAUAAGACACCAGGGGAGUCACUGCAUGGUUACCGCAUCUGUAUCCAGGCCAUCCUGCAAGAAAAGCCCAAGAUUGCCACCGCAAACCUAGGCAAGUUCCUGGAACUACUGAGGUCCCACCAGAGCCGACCAGCCAAGUGUCUGACCAUCAUGUGGGCCCUGGGUCAAGCGGGUUUUGCCAACCUCACCGAGGGACUGAAAGUGUGGCUGGGGAUCAUGCUGCCUGUGCUGGGCAUCAAGUCUCUGUCUCCGUUUGCCAUCACAUACCUGGAUCGGCUGCUCCUGAUGCAUCCCAACCUUACCAAGGGCUUCGGCAUGAUUGGCCCCAAGGACUUCUUCCCACUUCUGGACUUUGCCUAUAUGCCGAACAACUCCCUGACACCCAGCCUGCAGGAGCAGCUAUGUCAGCUCUACCCCCGACUGAAGGUGCUGGCAUUUGGAGCAAAGCCGGAUUCCACCCUGCAUACCUACUUCCCUUCUUUCCUGUCCAGAGCCACCCCUAGCUGUCCCCCUGAGAUGAAGAAAGAGCUCCUGAGCAGCCUGACCGAGUGCCUGACAGUGGACCCCCUCAGCGCCAGCGUCUGGAGGCAGCUGUACCCUAAGCACCUGUCACAGUCCAGCCUGCUGCUGGAGCACUUGCUCAGCUCCUGGGAGCAGAUUCCCAAGAAGGUACAGAAGUCUUUGCAAGAAACCAUUCAGUCCCUCAAGCUUACCAACCAGGAGCUGCUGAGGAAGGGCAGCGGUAACAACCAGGAUGUCGUCACCUGUGACAUGGCCUGCAAGGGCCUGUUGCAGCAGGCUCAGGGUCCUCGGCUGCCCUGGAUGCGACUCCUCCUGUUGCUGCUGGUCUUCACUGUAGGCUUCCUGUGCCAUGACCUCUGGUCACACAGCUCCUUCCAGGCCUCCCUUACUGGCCGGUUGCUUCGAACAUCUGGUUUCUUACCUGCUAGCCAACAAGCGUGUGCCAAGCUCUACUCCUACAGUCUGCAAGGCUACAGCUGGCUGGAGGAGACACUACCUGUCUGGGGCUCUCACCUGCUCACCGUGGUGCGGCCCAGCUUGCAGCUGGCCUGGGCUCACACCAAUGCCACAGUCAGCUUCUUUUCUGCCCACUGUGCCUCUCACCUUGCCUGGUUUGGUGACAGCCUCACCAGCCUCUCUCAGAGGCUACAGAUCCAGCUCCCUGAUUCCCUGAAUCAGCUGCUCUGCUAUCUGAGAGAGCUGCCCCUGCUUUUCUACCAGAAUGUGCUGCUGCCAUUGUGGCACCUCUUGCUUGAGGCCCUGGCCAGCGCCCACGAGCACUGCCAUGAGGCAUGCAGAGGUGAGGUGACGUGGGACUGCAUGAAGACACAGCUCAGUGAGGCUGUCCACUGGAUCUGGCUCUGCCUACAGGACAUCACAGUGGCUUUCUUGGACUGGGCACUUGCCCUGAUAUCCCAGCAGUAGGCCGUGCCUCCCUGGCCACUGAUUUCUGCGUGGGCAAACCAUCCAAGACUGCAGCGGGUAGAAGGCGGCAGUUCUUCAUGGGAGUCCUUUUAACUUGGUGCCUGAGUUCUCUCCUAGGCAAGUGGCCAGUUGCCUCCACCUCAGUUCUUCCAUCUUUGGUGGGGACAGGGCCCAGCGGCAUCUCAGCCUCCUACCCACAAUUCCACUGAACACUUUCUGGACCUACUGCACAUGGCCCCCAGCCUCCAUCCUUGUGAUGGUAGCCUCUCACAACUCCGCCCUUGCCCUCUGCCUUCCACUUCCUUCCAUCUCAUUUCUAAACCCCAAAUAGCUCAUCUCUAAAAAGACAGAACUCCCAGCAGGUGGCUUCUGUGUUCUUCUGACAAAUGAUUCCUGCUUCUCCAGACUUUAGCAGCCUCCUGUUCCCAUUCUUGGUCACACCUCUAGCCACAGCAGAAGGAAAGGGGCUUCCAGAAGAAUAUAGCCCCUCAUGUCCACUGACAGC